rnacentral:lncRNA from 1 species
ACAGUGUCCGGUGUGCACCGGACUGUCCGGUGCGCCCGAUGACAGAAGGCAAGAUCAGCCUUCCAGAAUUGCUCUCAACGGCUCCUAGCUGCCUUGGGGCUAUAAAAGGGAUCCCUAGGCGCAUGGAGGAGUACACCAAGCAACCUUAAAGCAUUCUUGAUCAUCCACACUCAGUCUUUGCGCAUUCGUUUGUCAUUCUCAGUGAUUCGAGCUCCGUUCUAGUGAGAACUUUGAGAUAGUCUUUUGAGCUCGAUUCUUGGCCGUGUGUGUGCGCAUUUUGCUGUGGAUUUGUGUGUGUUGCUUCCCUUCCUUACUCCGUGAUUCUUUGUGAACAUCAAAAGUGUAAGGGCGAGAGGCUCCAAGUUGUGGAGAUUCCUCGCGAACGGGAUAAGAAAAGAAAAGCAUAACACUGUGGUAUUCAAGUUGAUCAUUGGAUCACUUGAGAGGAGUUGAGUGCAACUCUCGUCCGUUGGGACGCCACAACGUGGAGUAGGCAAGUUUUGUACUUGGCCGAACCACGGGAUAAACCACUGUGUCCUCUCUGUGUUGAACUCUUUGUGGUUAUCGUAUUGUGCAAGAUCUUCUCUCUAGCCACUUGGCAUUAACUGUGCUAACGUUUAACCAAGUUUUGUGGCUUAAGUUUUAAAGUGUUACAGGAUCACCUAUUCACCCCCUCUCUAGGUGCUCUCAAUUGGUAUCAGAGCCGUUCUCUUCAAGAAAGGGACUAACCGCCCGAAGAGAUGGAUCCUAAAGGCAAGGGGAUGGUGAUCAACGACAAGGAAAAGGAGUCCUUCGUCAACGAGCCAAGGGAUGACAAGUCCAACGACUCGGGCUCGGGCCACAAAAGAAAAGAUGGGAGGAAGAAGAAGACAAGGCGCAUCAAGGAAAUUGUCUACUACGACAGCGACGAAUCUUCCUCCUCCCAAAAGGACGACGACGACUACGAUAGACGAAAGACGGUUAACUCAAACUUUUCUUUCGAUUAUUCGCGCAUCCCGCAUAGCUCAAAUGCUCAAUUGCUCCCCAUUCCACUUGGCAAGCCCCCUCACUUCGAUGGAGAGGACUACGGAUUUUGGAGCCAUAAAAUGCGUACUCACCUGUUUUCUCUCCAUCCAAGCAUUUGGGAGAUUGUGGAAAGUGGAAUGAAAUUUGAUAGCUCGGAUAGCCCUGUGUUUAUUAAUGAACAGAUUCAUAAAAAUGCACAAGCUACUACUGUGUUGCUAGCCUCUUUGUGCAGGGACGAGUAUCACAAGGUGAGCGGCUUGGACAAUGCCAAGCAGAUCUGGGACACCCUCAAGAUCUCUCAUGAGGGAAACGACGUCACCUUGCUCACCAAAAUGGAGUUGGUGGAGGGUGAGCUUGGACGGUUCGCGAUGAUAAGGGGCGAGGAGCCGACACAAACAUACAACAGGCUCAAGACCCUCAUCAACAAAAUAAGGAGCUACGGGAGCACGCGAUGGACGGACCACGACGUCGUCCGCCUAAUGCUAAGGUCAUUUACCAUUCUUGAUCCUCAUUUGGUAAACAAUAUACGUGAAAAUCCUAGGUACACCAAGAUGUCGCCCGAAGAAGUUCUUGGGAAAUUCGUUAGCGGGCGAAUGAUGAUCAAGGAGGCGAGGUACGUGGACGACGCCUUGAAUGGUCCGAUCAACGAGCCGCAACCCGUUGCUCUCAAGGCAACACGAAGCAAGGAGGCGCUACCUAGCAAGGUGGCACAAAUUGAGGCGGCCGGACUUAAUGAUGAAGAGAUGGCUCUCAUCAUCAAAAGAUUCAAGACGGUGCUUAAAGGUCGCAAAGGACAGCCUAGCAAGACCAAAGCCAAGGGGAAGCGCUCAUGCUUCAAAUGCGGUAAGCUUGGUCAUUUUAUUGCUAACUGUCCCAACAAUGAUAGUGAUCAGGAUCAAGGGAACAAGAGGGAGAAAAAGAAGAACUAUAAGAAGGCAAAGGGCGAGGCUCAUCUUGGCAAGGAGUGGGAUUCGGACUGCUCUUCGUCCGACUCCGACAAUGAAGGACUCGCCGCCACUGCCUUCAACAAGUCAUCCCUCUUCCCCAACGAGCGACACACUUGCCUCAUGGCAAGGGAGAAGAAAGUAAGCACUCAUAAUACUAGUACUUAUGCUUCUUCAAGUGAGGAUGAGUCUAGUGAUGAUGAUGAGAUAGAUUACUCAUGCUUAUUCAAGGGAUUAGAUAGAACCAAGGUAGACAAAAUUAAUGAAUUGAUUGAUGCCUUGAAUGAUAGGAAUAUACUUUUAGAAAAGCAAGAGGAUUUGUUGUAUGAAGAACAUGAUAAAUUUGUAGAAGCUCAGAAAUCUCUUGCUCUAGAAAUUAAGAGAAAUGAAAUGCUCUCUAGUGAACUGUCUUCUUGUCAUGAAACUAUUGCUAAGUUAAAGAAUUUUAAUGAUGAUUUAAAUGCUAGACUAGAAGUAGCUAGUAAAUCUAAUUCUUGUGUAGAAAUUGUUGAAACUUGUAAUAGGUGUAAAGAUUUUGACAUUGAUGCUUGUAGUGAUCAUUUAGUUUCAAUUUCAAAAUUGAAUGAUGAAGUGGCUAGUCUUAAUGCCCAACUUAAGACUAGCAAAAGCGAAUUUGAUAAAUUAAAAUUUGCAAGGGAUGCCUAUACGAUUGGUAGACAUCCCUCAAUUAAGGAUGGACUUGGCUUCAAGAGGGAAGCCAAGAACUUAACAAGCCAUAAGGCUCCCAUUCCUGCCAAGGAGAAAGGGAAGGCCCCUAUGGCUGGUAGUGCUAAAAAGAACCAUGCUUUUAUGUAUCAUGAUAGGAGACAUACUAGAAAUGCAAUUAGAAGUUAUAAUGUUUUUGAUUCAUAUGUUUAUGAUUCUCAUGACAUGUUUGCUUCUAGUUCUUUCUAUGUGCAUGAUAGGAAUGUUGGUAGGAGAAAUGCUGUUCAUAAUAUGCCUAGGAGAAAUGUUGUUAGGAAAGUAAAUGAACCUUCUACAAUAUAUCAUGCGUUAAAUGCUUCUUUUGCUAUUUGUAGAAAGGAUAGGAAGAUAGUUGCUAAAAAAUUAGGGGCAAGAUGCAAGGAAGAUAAAACUUGCAUUUGGGUCCCUAAGGAUAUUUGUGCUAACCUUGCAGGACCCAACAUGAGUUGGGUACCUAAGACCCAAGCCUAAAUUUGCCUUGCAGGUAUAUGCAUCCGGGGGUUCAAGCUGGAUUAUUGACAGCGGAUGCACAAACCAUAUGACGGGGGAGAAGAAGAUGUUCACCUCCUACGUCAAGAAUAAAGAUUCCCAAGAUUCAAUAAUAUUCGGUGAUGGGAAUCAAGGCAAGGUAAAAGGGUUAGGUAAAAUUGCAAUCUCAAAUGAGCACUCUAUCUCUAAUGUGUUUUUAGUAGAGUCUCUUGGAUAUAAUUUGCUAUCUGUUAGUCAAUUAUGCAAUAUGGGAUAUAACUGUUUGUUUACAAAUGUAGAUGUGUCUGUCUUUAGAAGAUGUGAUGGUUCACUAGCUUUUAAGGGUAUUCUAGACGGCAAGCUUUACUUAGUUGAUUUUGCAAAAGAAGAGGCCAGUCUAGAUGCAUGCUUAAUGGCUAAGACUUGCAUGGGCUGGCUGUGGCAUCGCCGCUUAGCGCAUGUGGGGAUGAAGAACCUCCACAAGCUUCUAAAGGGAGAACACGUGAUAGGUCUAACCAAUGUUCAUUUCGAAAAAGAUAGACCUUGUGCAGCUUGUCAAGCAGGGAAACAGGUGGGAGGCUCUCAUCACACCAAAAAUGUGAUGACAACAUCAAGACCCCUGGAGCUGCUACAUAUGGACCUCUUCGGACCCGUCGCCUAUCUGAGCAUAGGAGGAAGUAAGUAUGGUCUAGUUAUCGUUGAUGACUUUUCCCGCUUCACUUGGGUGUUCUUUUUGUAGGAUAAGUCUGAAACCCAAGGGACCCUCAAGCGCUUCCUCAGGAGAGCUCAAAAUGAGUUUGAGCUCAAGGUGAAGAAGAUAAGGAGCGACAAUGGGUCCGAGUUCAAGAACCUUCAAGUGGAGGAGUUCCUUGAGGAGGAAGGGAUCAAGCACGAGUUCUCCGCUCCCUACACACCACAGCAAAAUGGUGUGGUAGAGAGGAAGAACAGGACGCUAAUCGAUAUGGCGAGGACGAUGCUUGGAGAAUUCAAGACCCCCGAGUGUUUCUGGUCGAAAGCCGUGAACACGGCUUGCCACGCCAUCAACAGGGUCUACCUUCAUCGCCUCCUCAGGAAAACUUCGUAUGAGCUACUAACCGGUAACAAACCCAAUGUAUCUUACUUUCGUGUAUUUGGGAGCAAGUGCUACAUUCUAGUGAAGAAGGGUAGAAAUUCUAAAUUUGCUCCCAAAGCUGUAGAAGGGUUUUUGUUAGGUUAUGACUCAAAUACAAAGGCGUAUAGAGUCUUCAACAAAUCAUCGGGUUUGGUUGAAGUCUCUAGCGACGUUGUAUUUGAUGAGACUAAUGGCUCUCCAAGAGAGCAAGUUGUUGAUUGUGAUGAUGUAGAUGAAGAAGAUGUUCCGACGGCCGCUAUACGAACCAUGGCGACUGGAGAAGUGCGACCACAGGAACAAGAUGAAUGAGAUCAACCUUCUUCCUCAACAACGGUGCAUCCCCCACCUCAAGAUGAUGAACAGGUUCAUCAAAAGGAGGCGUGUGAUCAAGGGGGAGCACAAGAUGUUCACGUGAUGGAGGAAGAAGCGCAACCGGCACCUCCAACCCAAGUUCGAGCGAUGAUUCAAAGGGAUCAUCCCGUCGACCAAAUUCUGGGUGACAUUAGCAAGGGAGUAACUACUCGAUCUCGAUUAGUUAAUUUUUGUGAGCAUUACUCCUUUGUCUCUUCUAUUGAGCCUUUCAGGGUAGAGGAGGCCUUGCUAGAUCCGGAUUGGGUAUUGGCCAUGCAGGAGGAACUCAACAACUUCAAGCGCAAUGAAGUGUGGACACUGGUGCCUCGUCCCAAGCAAAAUGUUGUGGGAACCAAGUGGGUGUUCCGCAACAAACAGGACGAGCACGGGGUGGUGACGAGGAACAAGGCUCGACUUGUGGCAAAAGGUUAUGCCCAAGUCGCAGGUUUGGACUUUGAGGAGACGUUUGCUCCUGUGGCUAGGCUAGAAUCAAUUCGUAUCUUGCUAGCAUAUGCCGCUCACCAUUCUUUCAGGUUGUACCAAAUGGAUGUGAAGAGCGCUUUCCUCAACGGGCCAAUCAAGGAGGAGGUGUACGUGGAGCAACCCCCUGGCUUCGAGGAUGAACGGUACCCCGACCACGUGUGUAAGCUCUCUAAGGCGCUCUAUGGACUUAAGCAAGCUCCAAGAGCAUGGUAUGAAUGCCUUAGAGACUUUCUAAUUAUUAAUGCUUUCAAGGUUGGGAAAGCCGAUCCAACUCUGUUUACUAAGACAUGUGAUGGUGAUUUGUUUGUGUGCCAAAUUUAUGUCGAUGACAUAAUAUUUGGUUCUACUAACCAAAAGUCUUGUGAAGAGUUUAGCAGGGUGAUGACGCAGAAAUUCGAGAUGUCAAUGAUGGGCGAGUUGAACUACUUCCUUGGGUUCCAAGUGAAGCAACUCAAAGAUGGCACCUUCAUCUCCCAAACGAAGUACACGCAAGAUCUGCUAAAGCGGUUUGGGAUGAAGGACGCCAAGCCCGCAAAGACUCCGAUGGGGACCGACGGACACACCGACCUCAACAAAGGAGGUAAGUCCGUUGAUCAAAAAGCAUACCGGUCAAUGAUAGGGUCUUUACUUUAUUUAUGUGCUAGUAGACCGGACAUUAUGCUUAGCGUAUGCAUGUGUGCUAGAUUUCAAUCCGAUCCUAAGGAGUGUCACUUAGUGGCAGUGAAGCGAAUUCUUAGAUAUUUGGUUGCUACGCCUUGCUUCGGGCUCUGGUAUCCAAAGGGGUCUACCUUUGACUUGGUUGGAUACUCAAAUUCCGACUAUGCUGGAUGUAAGGUCGAUAGGAAAAGUACAUCGGGGACGUGCCAAUUCUUAGGAAGGUCCCUGGUGUCAUGGAACUCUAAGAAACAAACCUCCGUUGCCCUAUCCACCGCUGAGGCCGAGUACGUUGCCGCAGGACAGUGUUGCGCGCAACUACUUUGGAUGAGGCAAACCCUCAGGGACUUUGGCUACAAUCUGAGCAAAGUCCCACUCCUAUGUGAUAAUGAGAGUGCCAUCCGCAUGGCGGAAAAUCCUGUUGAACACAGCCGCACAAAGCACAUUGACAUCCGGCAUCACUUUCUGAGAGACCACCAGCAAAAGGGAGAUAUCGAAGUGUUUCAUGUUAGCACCGAGAACCAGCUAGCCGAUAUCUUUACCAAGCCUCUAGAUGAGAAGACCUUUUGCAGGCUGCGUAGUGAGCUCAAUAUCUUAGAUUCGCGGAACUUGGAUUGAAAUGUAGCAUACAUAUGUUUAUGCUUUUGAUCAUUCUGCAUUUUGUUGUUUAUUGUGGUGCUCAAGUUGUCCAAACACUCCCUGGACCUCACAAGUCCGUUGCAAAGUGAUGCACAGUUUUAGGGGGAGAUGUGUUACAACUUGACCCUUUGAGACUAACCAUAUGCUUGAGUUUGCUUGUUUUAGUCUCGAAGGAGAUUUAAAAGGAAAAAGGUGGACUUGGACCAUGCAAGACUUCCACUGCACUCCGAUGAAAAGAGUAACUUUUCCAAGUUCAUCUUUUAACUCUUAUUGCCUAUUUGCUCUUAAUUGAAGAUUUUGGUGAGGCAAUGGGGUUAAAGGGCCAAGAUUGAUCCCGUUUUGGUGCUUGAUGCCAAAGGGGGAGAAAAUAAAGGCCAAAGCGAUAAAUGGAUCAGCUACCACUUGAGAGAUUUUGAAAAUAGUAGAAUAGAGCUUUUUGUUUUGACAAAACUCUUGCAUUGUCUCUUUUGUCAAAAGUUGGCCUCUUGUGGGGAGAAGUGUUGAUUAUGGGAAAAAGGGGGGGUUUUUGGAAUCUUGAAUCAAUUUUCUUUGGAAAACCUCUCUUUAUGUCUCUACAAGUGGAUUUGACUUAGAGAUAGGAUUUUGUGUUUGAUUUGCAAAAACAAACCAAGUGGUGGCAAAGGAUGAUCCAUAUAUGCCAAAUUGAAUCAAAAUAAAUUUGAGUUUUUAUUUGAAGUGAUAUUGCACUUGUUCUAGUUGCUUUAUGUUGUGUUGGCAUAAAUCACCAAAAAGGGGGAGAUUGAAAGGGAAAUGUGCCCUUGGGCCAUUUCUAAGUAUUUUGGUGAUUGAGUGCCAACACAAGUGCUUAAAUGUGAAUCUAUGCCCAUGGAUGAACAAAGUGCAAAUCAAGAGCAAAGGUAUGUUUCUAAGUCUUAGUACAUUGGUUUUGUGUACUAAUAUACUUGUCUAAGUAUCAGAAACAGAAAGAAGAAGAAAAGAGAAGAGUUGGCUGUGUACAGCCAAGAGGCUGUUUCGGUCUGGGGCACCGGACUGUCCGGUGGUGCACCGGACAGUGUCCGGUGGUGCACCGGACAGUGUCCGGUGCGCCAGGCUGGCUCGAGCGAAGUGGCCGCUCUCGGGAAUUCGCCGACGACGUACGGCUAAAAUUCACCGGACUGUCCGGUGUGCACCGGACUGUCCGGUGAGCCAACGGUCGGCCGGUCCAACGGUCGGCCGCGGAAUCUGCGCGCGACACGUGGCCGGGCCAACGGUCGGAAGGGGGCACCGGACUGUCCGGUGUGAACCGGACAUGUCCGGUGCGCCAACGGCUCCCAGAUCUACAACGGUCGGCUGUGCCAUUUUAGGAAGGAGAUCGGGCACCGGACAGUGUCCGGUGUGCACCGGACUGUCCGGUGCGCCCGAUGACAGAAGGCAAGAUCAGCCUUCCAGAAUUGCUCUCAACGGCUCCUAGCUGCCUUGGGGCUAUAAAAGGGACCCCUAGGCGCAUGGAGGAGUACACCAAGCAACCUUAAAGCAUUCUUGAUCAUCCACACUCAGUCUUUGCGCAUUCGUUUGUCAUUCUCAGUGAUUCGAGCUCCGUUCUAGUGAGAACUUUGAGAUAGUCUUUUGAGCUCGAUUCUUGGCCGUGUGUGUGCGCAUUUUGCUGUGGAUUUGUGUGUGUUGCUUCCCUUCCUUACUCCGUGAUUCUUUGUGAACAUCAAAAGUGUAAGGGCGAGAGGCUCCAAGUUGUGGAGAUUCC